ensembl:lncRNA
GUUCAGCAGGUUUCAAGUUCAUUUAACUGUUAAAUUACGGUAUUUCAUCUUAGUUAAGAGACCAUGGUGUUAUAAAAGUGUGUACCCUGCUAAAACUGGAGUCGGAGGCGCGUUUGGAGGGUUUUCAGUGGGUGCUUUUGCUAAAUUAGCACAAAUGCGUGGAUAGUUAGCAGUUAGCUAACUAGCUUUCAACGUAGCUGGAUUGUAUUGGAGCUCAGACUGAGUGCGUUCAUGUAGGAAACACGACUUUCUUCUCAACAAGUCUCUGAAUCGGCCACGCCCCCCGCCGUCCGGUGGUCUCUGGAGGAUGGAAUCCCAGGAAUGCAAGAGGAUGUAGGCCCCCUCGUCCCGGUUCAUGGAGCAGCUCGCCUGCUUCCUGAUCUCAAUGGCCUCCUUAAUCCAUCGUUUGUAUUUGAUGUCCAUCACGUCCUUCUGCUGCAGGUCUUUCGUUUCAUCUUCCAGUGACACAGUGAUGUCCAGUUUGAUCAGAGAUUUGUCUUUCAUCCUUUGACAAAAUGGCAAUCUCUUUGAAUAAAGAGAUGAAUGGAGAAGUCACUGUCUUUUCCACAGGUUUCUUGGUUUAAUUUCUGUGAGGUGCUGAGCUGAAGGUGGUUAGUGAAGUCUUUGUGGUUCUUGUCUUAGAUGGUAGCGAUGGUAUCCUCUCCAGCAGUGAAAAACCUUUUAUCAUAGUCCAGCAGGUGGAAGGAUUUAGAGAGGUCUGUCUAUGGAUGGGACUCCUAUUGUGCACCAGACAGAACUGUUUAAAAAAUUGAUCCAAAUACAAAUUUUUGUCCACGUGAACCCUAGCAAAAUUGGGCAAAUUACAAAAUUUACAUCACGCAGUCCCUGUUUGACCCUUGUGUACU